AGCUGAUGAAGCAACAGAAGCUUCAAAGUUCCCAGUUUUUGUUUGCUGGUCUACUUUGCCUCUCAUUUCUGAAAAGUUAGAACACAAUCAAAAUGCCAAUUUAUUUUCAGAAAGACAUCAAUAUUGACAGCUACUCGUGAGAGAACAACAAAAAGUGAACAGAGAUUCUUUACAUUAUUUGGCUUGAGGACAUCUGCCAAUACGGACCUUCAGCAUGGAUAAAUUGUUAGUUGUAUAUUUUUAAAAUUUAUAUUUAAAAUGUUAGAUAGAUUCGUCAAAUAGUGAUUAAAAAAUUUAUAUACCGGUAUGUAGAUCUUGAAGACCCUGAAAUUCUUGUGUUGGAAGGGUCAGAAAUAAAGGAAUCUGACAGAGAUGAUGGCGAUGAAGCCAUAGGAUCAAUUUCCUGAUUAAAAUUCAAAAUAAUUUAAAAACAUUAUAUG